UGGCUCAGGAUGAGCGCUAGCGACAGGCCUAACACAUGCAAGUCGAAGGGCAUCGGGGCGAGGAGCAAUCCUUGCCGCCGGCGACCGGCGCACGGGUGAGUAACGCGUAUGCGACCUGCCCGUUGCAGGGGGAUAAUCGGGAGAAAUCCCGUCUAAUACCGCGUAAUGCCGCGGGGCUGCAUGGCCCUGCGGCCAAAGGAAGCGAUUCCGGCAACGGAUGGGCAUGCGUGACAUUAGCUAGUUGGCGGGGCAACGGCCCACCAAGGCGACGAUGUCUAGGGGUUCUGAGAGGAAGGUCCCCCACACUGGUACUGAAACACGGACCAGACUCCUACGGGAGGCAGCAGUGAGGAAUAUUGGUCAAUGGGCGCGAGCCUGAACCAGCCAAGUCGCGUGAGGGAUGACGGCCCUACGGGUUGUAAACCUCUUUUGUCGGGGAGCAAAUUCCGCCACGUGUGGCGGAGUCGAGAGUACCCGAAGAAAAAGCAUCGGCUAACUCCGUGCCAGCAGCCGCGGUAAUACGGAGGAUGCGAGCGAUAUCCGGAUUUAUUGGGUUUAAAGGGUGCGUAGGCGGACUGUCAAGUCAGCGGUAAAAUACGGGGGCUCAACCUCCGCCCGCCGUUGAAACUGACGGUCUUGAGUGGGCGAGAAGUAUGCGGAAUGCGUGGUGUAGCGGUGAAAUGCAUAGAUAUCACGCAGAACUCCGAUUGCGAAGGCAGCAUACCGGCGCCCAACUGACGCUGAAGCACGAAAGCGUGGGUAUCGAACAGGAUUAGAUACCCUGGUAGUCCACGCAGUAAACGAUGAAUACUAGCUGUCCGGGGCGAAUGAGCCCUGGGUGCACAGCGAAAGCGUUAAGUAUUCCACCUGGGGAGUACCCCGGCAACGGUGAAACUCAAAGGAAUUGACGGGGGCCCGCACAAGCGGAGGAACAUGUGGUUUAAUUCGAUGAUACGCGAGGAACCUUACCCGGGCUCAAACGACACAGGAACGUACCUGAAAGGGUUCGGCUCUACGGAGCCUGUGUCGAGGUGCUGCAUGGUUGUCGUCAGCUCGUGCCGUGAGGUGUCGGCUUAAGUGCCAUAACGAGCGCAACCCCCAUCGACAGUUGCUAACAGGUCAGGCUGGGGACUCUGUCGAGACUGCCGGCGCAAGCUGCGAGGAAGGCGGGGAUGACGUCAAAUCAGCACGGCCCUUACGUCCGGGGCGACACACGUGUUACAAUGGCAGGUACAGCGGGAAGCCACCUGGCGACAGGGAGCGGAACCCGAAAGCCUGUCUCAGUUCGGAUUGGAGUCUGCAACCCGACUCCAUGAAGCUGGAUUCGCUAGUAAUCGCGCAUCAGCCACGGCGCGGUGAAUACGUUCCCGGGCCUUGUACACACCGCCCGUCAAGCCAUGGAAGCCGGGGGUGCCUGAAGUGCGCUGCCGCGAGGAGCGCCCUAGGGUAAAACCGGUGACUGGGGCUAAGUCGUAACAAGG
rnacentral:rRNA from 1 species